GCCGGGCGUGGUGGCGUGCGCCUGUAAUCCCAGCUACUCGGGAGGCUGAGGCAGGAGAAUCGCUUGAACCCAGGAGGCAGAGGUGGCGGUGAGCCGAGAUCAUGCCACUGCACCCCAGUCUGGGUAACAGAGUGAGACUCCGUCUCCA
rnacentral:SRP_RNA from 1 species